AAUUUAGACAAGGGGAAAAACCCUAAUUUAGCGAUGCCGGGUGUGUGAAGAAGCCUUUGGGUUGAAAAACCAUUUUCGCCAGGGAUGAUAAUGACAGUACUUGGAAAAGAAACCCGGGUUAAUUCCGUCCCAGCAGCCGGGUAAAUACGGAGGGGGUUAGCUUUUUUUGGAAAUUACUGGGGUAAAGCGCAGUUAGGCGGAUUAUAAAGUCAGGGGUGAAAUCCCCGGGGCUCACCCCCGGAACUGCCUUUGAUACUGGUAGUCUUGAGUUGAAGAGAGGUGAGUGGAAUUCCGAGUGUAGAGGUGAAAUUCGUAGAUAUUCGGAGGAACACCAGUGGCGAAGGCGGCUCACUGGCUCGAUACUGACGCUGAGGUGCGAAAGUGUGGGGAGCAAACAGGAUUAGAUACCCUGGUAGUCCACGCCGUA
rnacentral:rRNA from 1 species